UACGUAGGGUGCGAGCGUUAAUCGGAAUUACUGGGCGUAAAGGGCGCGUAGGCGGCCUUCUAAGUCGGACGUGAAAUCCCUCGGCUUAACCGAGGAACUGCGUCCGAGACUGAAAGGCUUGAAUCCGGGAGAGGGAUGUGGAAUUCCAGGUGUAGCGGUGAAAUGCGUAGAUAUCUGGAGGAACACCGGUGGCGAAGGCGGCAUCCUGGACCGGCAUUGACGCUGAGGCGCGAAAGCUAGGGGAGCAAACGGG
rnacentral:rRNA from 1 species